CAUUUGCCAUGAAUUUAUGGUUCCUAAUUUUGAGAAUUCAAAUAGGAUGAAAAGGGAAUACGGUGUAAAUCCGUAGCUGUUCCCGCAACUGUAAGCUUUAAGUAGUCAAACGAGUAACUACUAAUUUAAUGUUUUGGUGUCUUAUUUAUGCCACUGUUCAAUUUCUAUAGGAUUUGGAUGGGAAGGCUAAUCAAAACAAAAGCAAGCCAGGAGACCUGCCUAAAUUCACAAAUACAU
rnacentral:ncRNA from 2 species